UGCGGGGAAGGAUGAGAAGCUUCGACUAAGGUUCGACUCGAGCGCCAGCGAGAGAGCGUUGCCGCAGGCAACGACCCGAAGGGCGAAGCGCGCAGCGCUGAGUAAUCCUUCCCCCACCACCA
rnacentral:sRNA from 1 species